rnacentral:lncRNA from 12 species
GCCAAUACUACUUUGUGUCUUUCUUCAUUAUAUUACUGUAUGCUGUUGUAGUGCUGUCGGAAGCUACUAUUUUUACAGAAAAUGCAGCAGCAGCACUAAUUGUCUCAGCCAUAUUCAGCCUCACAAAACUCAGGAUCCUAUGAUGUGCAUGCAUCUUACUUCAGAUCAUCCCUGGCUAAAAAGCAGAAACUGUCCUGGCAGCAGAUCAGUCAACAACCAGACCUCAGAGGACACUCUGCCAAAGUAUCACAAAACCACCUUCUCCAUAGGAAGACAGAGUUACAUGAAGACUUACCAUGAGGAAAUACCGAGCUUGUCAGCUGAUGACAGUAUCAAGGAAAGGUAACUCCACUGACAACUGUGGAUGGUGGUUUGUGGAUGCCUAUAUUUUGAAUACAUGAUUUCCGAACAAGCUGAGUUCUUUAAGCUGAAACAGCUACAUGAGCAUUCACUUGGGGGAAUAGAUUACACAACCAAGAGAUUUCCAUGCUGUAGUAUCUGUACUAAAGAACCCGCCCAGUUCCUCACCAUGCUGAACAUAAAUAAACUCAGCAAUUU